CCCUAUAGUCAACUACAUCGCAAUGGCAGACAACCUCCGUUCCUUGGAGAGGUCCUCUACUCCUCAGUCCUCUCCCAUAGUUUCGAUAGUUCGACGCCUUCACAUUCCUCGCUGCUGUUUGCGAUCAGACGGAUGGCAUCCCCAAAUAUUUUCGUUUCAUCACCAACUCUGCGAAGGUCUUCAUUCUCUCAGUUUGAUCGUGCCGUCUUUUCUGAUUCUUUGCCUAAGAAGGACCCUUGUUGUUUCUUGAGAUCGAGAAGGGGCUGCUCUAUCAGAAAAGAAUGAAGACAGACAAUCUGCACAUGAAAUAUACAGAUAUGCUACAAUUGGAGUUUCGCCACCAUCAUGCAGCAGUGGUGCAUAACUAGGCAUGUCCAGCUGAAGAUUUUGGCUGUUCUUGGCAGUGAUAGCUAAAAUAACGCUUCCCGAGGCUGCAUUAUAGGCGUUGUCAACAUUUGGGUUCUAUCGUGCAUGGCUGACCUUUAAACUUAGAUUUAUAAUCAAAGAUUGUGUCUUCCAACUACUUUGUGCUCAAAAUCUUGCAUAGGCUGAAGCCUUCAUGGUUUCUCUCCGUUAACCUACCUCUUACUGAUUGUGCAUGAUUGCCAUUGCGUACCCUCAUGAUUUUGUCUUUGGCCACCGCAGUGUGGUGUUGAACAAUUCUUUGUGGUGCUGAUAAAAAACUGGGAAGCCAAGAUUGUGUACUAAGGACUCCACUCGGACAUUUGUUUUUGUUCAUUCUCUCUCUCUCUCUCUCUCUCUCUCUCUCUCUCUCUCUAGCUUUUGAAUUAUAAUUCUGGUUACUGGUUCUAAUGAAGCAAACCACACACACACACAGAGGAAAAAUUAUUUGGAAUCUGUCGUAUCUUCUGCACCUGCCAACUUCAUUUAGACCCAUUUGAAGAGAGAAUGCAAAAGAAUUAAGCAUUGUCUUCUCUAAAUAGGUACUGAUAUGGGCCCAAUUUCAUACUGGUCAUUAAGAACUCACCAUGUUUUAUGUCCCCACACUCCAACACAUACCAUACUCGAAUCACGUGUCAAAGACGACCAAAUCGAGAUCAUCCAACUGGUUGGGUGCAUGCUAAAGUUCAACCUGCCAGAGGACCCUCCAUGUGGGCCUUCAAUCAUUUGGAUUGUAGCCAUGUCAUCAUUCGUCUAUUGUUAGUCAUUCAUUACAUCAGUUAAUCAGAGGAAAUUAUGUCGACACAUCUCAAGUGUCGGUAAUGCAAAACAACACAUCUCAGCUGCUUGGAUUAACAGUUCAGUGUCGCCUGGCUUAUAGCUGCAUAUCGUACAGAAACACCAUCCACUAAUAUAGGCAGAGUAAAUUGAACAAGAAAAUCUCCCGGCACCAGAGUGAGUGGGGCUAUUAUGGACGUCAUCAGUUCCCUUCUUGCAACUUUUAGUUGUGUUUCCAUCUCAGUGCAUGGUUGAGGUUGGCUCCACUAGCUCCGACGGCCAAGAAUCUUCCAUGGCCCUGAUUUUUUUUAUAUCACUUUCCUGUUUAUCAUUACAAAUCUUUUCAAAUUUAAUGCUACUUCAAGACGUUUGGUGCUGUGACAGCGAGGGUGAUGAGACGUUUGUGAGUUCGGUAACCUCGGAGCAGACCAGAUGGAGAGUGUUCCAAACGAUGGGACUGGCGGUGCCUGGUAUUGUUUAUCCGCCUAUCUUGUUUGGCCAAGGAGGGCACAACAGAGAUUGAAGCGAGGAUAAGAACAGGGGCUGGAGGAGGAGACCAUGCAGAGGUAUGGUUUGUGGGCCGUAAGCCGCCCAUUGCACUGCACAUACAGACGCGGAACUUCUGUAGGCCGCCGAUUCAUCCCCUACAUAUUUUCAACCGAUUUAACAUCUGCUCCACCUGAGAAUAAUUUCCUUAGUAAUCGUGUGCUUAAUUUUCAUCAGUGAGAUGAAAGUUCAGCAAUUGACUUGCGGAACAGAUGUCUGAUAAGAAAAUCAGUUCUUGGUAUACCAUGAUCGAAACACUCUCCUUUUGUUCUUCUGGGAAUAAUGGAUGUGUCGACCAGUGCUAGUACAGAUUGUUUAGCAUCUAGCUAGUGUUGGUAGU